UACGAAGGGGGCGAGCGUUGUUCGGAAUUACUGGGCGUAAAGGGCGCGUAGGCGGCCGAUCAAGUUAGAUGUGAAAGUCCUGGGCUUAACCUGGGGACUGCAUUUGAUACUGAUUGGCUUGAAUUCGGGAGAGGAUAGCGGAAUUCCCAGUGUAGAGGUGAAAUUCGUAGAUAUUGGGAAGAACACCGGUGGCGAAGGCGGCUAUCUGGACCGACAUUGACGCUGAGGCGCGAAAGCGUGGGGAGCGAACAGG
rnacentral:rRNA from 1 species